GGGCGGCGCCGCCGGCCGGACGUCCUCGAGGCGGACCGAGCCGGAGCGCUCGCGUCGGGACCCGAAAGGUGGUGAUCUAUCCGUGCGCGCGGCGAAGCCGGGGGAAACCCCGGUGGAGGCCCGUCGACGGUACUGACGUGCAAAUCGUUCGUCCGACGUGCGAAUAGGGGCGAAAGACCAAUCGAACCUCCUAGUAGCUGGUUUCCGCCGAAAUUUCCCUCAGGAUAGCGGCCAUCGCGGAAACGUUUUGACCGGUAGAGCGAACGACUAGAGGUACCGGGGCCGUAACGGCCUCGACCUAUUCUCGAACUCCGAACGGGCAAGGAGCCGGGGUCGCCCGAUCGGACCCCGGACGUGAAGUCGACGAUGGUCGGUGGGCUGGUUUUGGUAAGCAGAACGGGCGAUUCGGGAUGAACCGGAAGCGGGGAGAAAGGGCCCGAGAUUGCGU
rnacentral:rRNA from 1 species